rnacentral:rRNA from 1 species
UUGAACGCUGGCGGCAUGCCUUACACAUGCAAGUCGAACGGUAACAGGUCUUCGGAUGCUGACGAGUGGCGAACGGGUGAGUAAUACAUCGGAACGUGCCCGAUCGUGGGGGAUAACGGAGCGAAAGCUUUGCUAAUACCGCAUACGAUCUACGGAUGAAAGCAGGGGACCGCAAGGCCUUGCGCGGACGGAGCGGCCGAUGGCAGAUUAGGUAGUUGGUGGGAUAAAAGCUUACCAAGCCGACGAUCUGUAGCUGGUCUGCGAGGACGACCAGCCACACUGGGACUGAGACACGGCCCAGACUCCUACGGGAGGCAGCAGUGGGGAAUUUUGGACAAUGGGUGCAAGCCUGAUCCAGCCAUUCCGCGUGAGUGAAGAAGGCCUUCGGGUUGUAAAGCUCUUUCGGCCGGGAAGAAAUCGCAUUCUCUAAUACGGGGUGUGGAUGACGGUACCGGAAGAAGAAGCACCGGCUAACUACGU